GCGGCGGCCAUGGCGGGCUCAGAGGCCGGCCGGUGGCGGCGCAGUGCGCACCUCGGCCGGCCUGCAGCGGGGUCUGCAAUGUGACACCAGCCUGCAGCGGCGGCCACUGCCAGUGUGCGUGUGCGUGUGUGUGUGUGCGCGUGUCGUGGCGAGCGCCCAUGGCGCCGCCCGCACAGUUCGGAGCAUACGGGUCAUAGUUAAGGUCGCACGUCCGGCUGCCGCCGACGCUGCUCGCUGGUGCUUGGACCGCAUCUACCUCGCUAGUGUUUAGUGGUGCCGAGCAAGUCUUUCAAGUGCCUUCCUCAUGGGAAUCGGCCUCAUGGCGCCAGAGGCCCAGUCAUCUGUGUUUUCUACUUUUAUACGGUGUGAGCGUGUGUGAACUGAGUGAGUGCGCGUCUGGGGCCAGAUCAGGUCCUCAGACGCUGAGACCAGCGGGACCGUUCAGACUCGACGGAAGAAGUGGAGCGAUAUAGGCUGGUGGCAGACAAAACUGAGGGUUUGCCUGGUCGUGUCGAUCGUCUACAGCAGUGAUGUCUCCUCACUCAUCUGGUCGUCUUCCCGGCGUCCCGGUGCGCCAUCCUCCAGCGGCGCCGGACUCUGAGUUGCCAGCUCUGCUCCGUGACGGCCUCCGCCGCCCACCGCGGCUGGCAUGUCCGGUGCCGGCGCCCGGCCGGCCACCGCCGCGGGUCUGGCUCGGAGGGUGACGGAGCUCAGACAGCUCUGGCCGCCCGAGCUGCGCAGACACCAGCCGGCUGCCGUGCAGAGACGUCAGAGAGUCAGUCCCGACUACAGCUCAGAGCGGCGUGCCUUCAGAGGGGUGACAUCUCUCGCAGCCAGCAGUACCGACUGGAGUCAUCGAAAGGAGUUCUAGAGCGACCAGCAAACAGUCAGGAACCAUGGAUGACAGCUAAAGCUGCUGCUCUACUGUGACAAAUCGCGGUAUCGGCCCAGGCAUCUGCCGACAUUACCACUGCCAUCGUGAUCGUCCGCUGCCACUGCCACCAGCAAGUCACUGCCACCAGCAACCCACUGCCCCAGCGAGUCACUGCCCCAGCGAGUCACUGCCCCAGCGAGUCACUGCCAUCAGCGAGCCACUGCCAUCAGCAAUCCACUGCCCCAGCAAGUCACUGCCAUCUUCAUCAACGACUGAGUUCUCCAAUCUACACCAACCAACGGAGAACGACGUCUGCAGGGACGUCGUGAUCGUCUCCACGAUUCCGGAGAGUCUGCCAACGGUCCGGCGGUUCCGAGUGGAGAGUACGUACGAAUGCGUACGUAUGGGGCGAUGGGUAACACAUACGUGCAGACAGCGUGUGUGUUUCAUUGGGAUUAGUGAGGGUUUGAUGGCACAUACACCGGUGUAUGUGUAGAUGGUUACUACGUAUGUUUCUUUACGUAGUAUGUGUGAGUAGGUGUAGUUAAAGCAGGAGAAACAGGGUAACAGUAAACGAUUGGGGCGCAUCACUGGGCCCGAAGUGUGUAGGUAAAUUUGAAAUAUCAGCGGUACACUGCCAUUAGUUUCUUGUAUAACCAGCUACCACAUUGCCACGUUGACCAAUCAAUUGACUGCCAUUAGAUUGUAUAUUGUGUGAAACGGGUAAACAAUAGUUUAAUCACCAGCGUAACUACACUGCCCUCAGUUUGUAGUUAAAUUGACACGGGUAAACCGUAGUUUAAUUGACCAGCCACAACACUGCCCAACUAGCUCGUAAUUUGAAUACGACGGGUAAAUUUAGUUUGUACUUUGACCAGCUAUAAUACUGCCAGUUUAGCUUGUAAUUUGACCAGCCUUAUUACUGCCCCAUUAGUUUGUAACCUGACCAGCCACUACACUGCCAUGUGUGUUUGUAGUUUGAACGACACGGGUAAACCGUAGUUGAUAGACCAGCCACUACACUGCCAUGUGUGUUUGUAGUUUGAACGACACGGGUAAACCGUAGUUGAUAGACCAGCCACUACACUGCCAUGUGUGUUUGUAGUUUGAGCAGCCUUAGUGCUAUGUUAGUUUGUAGAUAGACCAGCGACAAUACUGCCACUAGUCAGUAAUUUGUAGUUUGAAUGAUACGGGUAAAACCGUAGUUUGGAUGACCAGCUUCAAUGCUGUUAGAUUGUAGCUAAGCCAGCGUCAACACUGCCGUUAGGUUUUUGGUAGCAAUGAAACGGGUAAACCAUACUUGAAGGACCAGCCACAACAUUGCCCAAUUAGUUUGUAAUUCGAGUGAUACGGGUAAAUCAUGUUUGAUGGACCAGCCACAACACUGCCCAAUAGUGUAAUUUGUGCUACUGCCCCGUUAGUUUUUAAUUACACUGCCUCUCUCGGAUACUCGAGAUUUGCGGACCAAUAAUAACACUGCCAAUAGAAUUUCAUUUACUGCCGUCAAUAUCUCCUCGAUCAUUGGUGGCAUUCAACAAAAAAGUUGUAUUUUAUCGUUUAUAAUAACCGUUUAUCUUCACGCAAACUUCUGAACUCUGCUUGAUUGCUAGAAAAUUGUAGAAAAAAUUGAAUUUAUGUCAGGUGAAUGUGCUAUAAAAUUUAAAAUUUCCGGUACAUUUUCCAAACUGUAGAGCAAUUCUUACCAUAUCAUCUAUGGGCUCCAUCGAAUGCAACAACUCAACCGCAUUGGACUUCAUUGUAUAACUGUAUAUACCGCUCUUAGAUGAUAGUUUAGUUAGAAAGCACUACGGGUGCCUUGUUUGAAUGACCAGCCACUACACUGCCGUUAAAUUGUAGGUAAAGCGAUACGGGUUUGAUCGUAGUUUGAUUGACCAGCCUCAAUGCUGCCUCUAGUUUGUAGUUUGAAUGAUACGGGUCACUUGUAGUUUGGUAGCUGUAGUUAAUAGACCAGCCACACCACUACCCUGUUAGUUAGUAAUGUCACCAGCCUCAAUACUGCCCUUUUAGUUGGUAAAUUGACCAGUCAUAACACUGCCCUGUUAGUAAUGUCACCAGCAUCAAUACUGCCCUAGUAGUUGAUAAACUGACCAGCCACCCCACUGCCCUGUUAGUUAGUAAUGUCACCAGCCUCACUGCUGCCUGUUAGUAAUAGUGACCAGCCACUACACUGCCAUGUGUGUUUGUAGUUUGAAUGACACGGGUAAACCGUAGUUGAUAGACCAGCCACUACACUGCCGUUAGUUCGUAGUUAGGUUAUAGCGGGUAAAUCAGCCGAAGCACUGUCAUUAGCUCAACGGGGGAUAUAAUUUUUGUCUCUCGUCUCCACACCUUCGCUCUUUGUGUUACACAGCUGUGUAACUCCUAAUUCCGAUAUAUACAUCAUCUCGUAUCCUGCGUUUGCACUUUUUGAACCUGUUUUGUACUUUUGUAGUUUUGUUGACGUUUGUAGGUACUAAAUGAUAUUUUCACAAUUUUAUAUUGUGCGUUUGUACUUUCUUACCGCGUGUUUGUACUUUUCUAGUGUGUAUGUUUGUAUUUUUCUAGGGGUUUGUACUUUUUAGGGCGUGUUUGCACUUUUGUACGGGAUGUUAGCAGCUAGUCAUGCGCGUUUGUACUUUUGUAGGGUGUGUUGUUUCUACUGGUGUGUGUUAUCUAUGUCUGCGUCUGGGUGUAGGUACUUGUGCUCCGCUUUGCGGUGAGCUCAUUGCGGCUCGCGGCGGCCUCUGGUCGUCCGUGUCCGCCACACCUCGUACUCUGCUCAGCGCUGCGGGCUGGUCGCCUGCGGCUCGCCGCCCGGGCACCGCCGGCCGGCGCCCACCCAGUGUACCGGCGCGAACGCAGCGUCCUCUAUACAACGCUGGUGCUGCCACCUGCCGCCGCCUGGCCGGACCGCUCUCAUAGAGCGGUCACCGGAGCUGGCGGCGAAGAGGAGGCAGAUCGGCGGUUGCACCGGCCGGCCGCCCGAGGCGCAGCCGAAACCAGGUGUGCCGUCCCGAGCGGGAUCAUUGAGCUUUGGCUUGCAACUGUUAAUGUUAGAUGCGACAUUUGUACAGCUUUUGAUAUUGGUCACUGAUAUUGGUGUUCCGAUUGUGGUAAUAGUCAAAAUACGAUUAGCUUGGCAAGAAAGACGAGGGCUGGGGAAGCAAAUGCAGCUAAUGCACAUACCACUUCAGCUUCGAAUUGGUAGAGAAUAUCAAGUUUGUUGUAUCAUGUUUGUGAAUUGGUUCGUCUCUAGCUCUGCGUGAAUGUCUUUAUCUGAAGCUUGUAAAUAUCUAACCCGUAGAUAGGUGGUGUGGGUAGUAGAUAUGUUUCUUUGUACUUGAAUAAAUGUUCUGAAUGGUCUGAAUAAAAUUGUAGUAGCUAA